ensembl:lncRNA
AGGCUUAGUUGGAAUUGGAGUACACUUAAGUUCUUUGUCAAAUGCGAAUGUGAUAACUCAUAAAUCAAGAAGUACAAAUGAAACACAUCUGUAUGAUUGCUGUUUUCCCAGAGAAGAGCUGAAAUGCAUUAUGAAAUAUUCAAAGCUUUGUUAUGUUGGUGAACUCAGAGUGUCAAAGACAGACACACAUUGUUUGAAAAGCUUAAUCUGGAAAAAAAGAGAGUAAAGUUUGAAGAAGGAUAUGUGAGGACAUAUUUAACUACUGUAAGACUUCUUGCAUGCAUAGAUGUGCAUUUAUGUGUCACAUGCUCAUCAGAAUCUACCUACACACAUCAUAUUAACGUUGAUAUAUUAAGAAGUCUUCUUUAUUAGCGUCUUAAUUUCUCGAAUAACACUUUGGAAAAAAUACUUUACUCACAGGAUUUUUUUCCUUCUGCACUUUGGAAGAUCCUCAGAUCCUCACAGUUUACCUGAGAUGGAAAGAUUUAUGUUAUCUCAAAGUAAUGCCAGAAUGUACUCAUUCUAAUAAUUUCAGAACUAAUGAUCACAGACAGAUGACUAAAUCAACCUAGCAGCUCUUUUUCUGUGCUGAAGUCUUUCUGUAUUUACAGAUAAUAAAAGACUAGAAGUCUUAAUAACAUCUAGUAUAAUCAGCUUAAGAUUUUGAGUUUUAUAAUGGACACAUGAAACUGAUAAUUGUUUCCAGUAGGCACAUCUAUCUGGAGCUGGAAAGCUGUUUCAAAUUCACUUUUUCUAUAGAACAAGGGCUGCUCCAGAAGUAAUGCCUCCUGUUUUAUUAUGUUGGCCUACAAUGUCAGAAGCAGGUGUUCGUGGCACGGCAGCAGGAGCUGGACAUUCCCACCAAAAUUUCAUUAUAUUUUGUUGCUCUGUGACAGAUGAAAGAAGAGGGACAGUCUGAGAAAAUGGCAUUUGACAUAGAAGUAAAUAUGUGCAAUUGAAUUCCUCCAUGCAUAGAAAAAUUGUACCCAUUGACAUUCAUUGACACUUGCUGCAAGUUCGUAGAGACCAUACAGUGGGUGUGAGCACACUAAGGUGGAGGAUGGUGUGUUACAGCAGUGGCAACAGUGACGUGAAAGAUAAACCACGUCUUAUGAGAAAGGCAUGCAGGCACUUGUUCAUCAGUGUCAAAAAUGUGCAAUUAAUGGUUGCUACUACACUGAAAAUAAAUGUUUUGUGGCUGAGAAUAUUCUCUAUCAAAUAGUGCUAUUGUGCUGUUUGCAGGUGGUGAAUUUUUCAUGGAAAUAAAUAGGAGGCAUUACUUUCAGAGUGACCUAUGUAUGUUCUCCACUUUUUUUGAGAAGACCUAUUGAAGUUGGCAUAAUAAAAUAAUUUAUUCAGACAUUCAGUUUUCCUUAUAGUUCUGUCUUAGGCCCUUCCUUAUUGGACAGGCUACGUUUGACUUUUCAGAGGAGAUUAGGUCAAAGUCUCCAUCAGUUGCAGGGUCAGGAUUCUUUCCAUUUCCAACUCAAAAUCAGUCUUUUUUUUUUUUUUCUUGUAUCAUUGUACGGGAAAAUAAUAAAGAAUGUAUACUUUGUUUAGGUAUGUCUAUUACACAUUUGUGAGGUGGUCCCAUUGCUUUAAUGUAGAUGGAAUCUUUGCAGUAACAUAGAGAAAUGUGUUUACACAGUUAUGUUUAUUCACUCUCAUAUUCUGCCUUUGAAAGAAGGACAAAUGUAUUUGCCUAAACUGUAAAAUGCUUUUUGCUAAUGCCUCUGAAUUCUUUACACUUACUGUUUUCCCUUCUUCCUAUGUCUCUUUAUCCCUUUGGAAUAUGAUCCUUUUCUCUCUGUCAUUUAGAUUCCUAUUCUUGACUACUGCAAGAUUCUUUCCUGCUACAUAGGAACCUAUGUUUUUCAAGUUUUUACUUUUGACCAAAGCUGUGUUCUUUGGCUCAUUUUUUACCCUCUUAUAUAACCUUCACUGAACUGAAAAAAAUGAUACAAGAAUUGUCUUUUAAACUUGAAUGAAGCGAUAUCAAACACUGUGCUGCCUAACAUAGAGAAAUGAAUUGAUUUGGGGAAAUUAAAUAUUGAUAUUAUGCUCUCAGGGCCAGCACAAAACUAGGCAAUUUCACAAAUUUUGCAUGGACCUCUGAGAGUUAGUGUGAAAAUAUAUUAAAGUAAAGGAAGUAGGGCAAGUGGCUAAAAGAAAGGAGUCUGUAGCUGACAUGUCGGCAUUGUAAGUUUUCAGCCCUUCUGAGCAGAGCUCCACUGAAUGUAAAAUGGCAAAGAGGAGAGGGUCUUUUGUGUCUCUCCUCAGAUAGGGGCAUUGACAACCUGAUUCAUUUUCAGUACAUGCUCUUGUACCUGCAUGAAGCAACUGUAGAACUACAGAGGACUUUCACUUGAAUUUGGUCCCUAGCUUAAGCCAAACAAAAAGACUUCUCUUCACAAGCUGCAGAAAUAGUUAAAGGGUAAGAAAUUUCAUGUCGGUCAUCAGUAUCAGAAAGUACUGCUGUGAAUGGUUUUGAUUUAUUUUAGUCUAUCAAGCUGAAUGUUAAUUUUCAUGCUAGAAAGAUGUCUUUUCUUCCUUGAUUUAUUAAAUAAAAAUAGGUAAAAAAAAAAAAAAAAGAUUCUUUUAAAGAUACUCUUAAAUGUAUCUACUAUGAUUUAAAUUAAGCAUUAGCUUUUAUCUCUAAAAUGAAGAGCUCGGUUUACUUCUCUUAGUGACUUCGGUUUUAGAAGAAAAAAUUGUGUCCAUGUUCAGUUAUAUGUUCGAAAAACACUUAGUUACAGUCAGUUACAUAUACAUCUCCAAAUACCAGUAAAAUUUCCUCCACUUGUCUGUGUGUGUGUGUGUCUGUGUGUGCAGAUAAAGAUAGAUCGUCAAGCUCUUACCAUCUAGACACUCUUCUAUGUAUUAGGAAGGGAUACGUUGUGAAGUAGGGCAUAAGCUUAUAAUCUAAGGUCAUAGAUUUGGAACUGCCUUGGAAGUGGUGUGUGAUGCUCAGCAAGACUGCUUUUCUUAACCUUUAUUGUUUGUGAAAUUCAGAAAUGUGCUUCCUGCUCGUACUAGUAAAAAUAACUUGUCUUAUUUUCAAAAUGGAACACGUGUAAAAAACAGCAUGAAAUAUUUUUUUCUACUAAGGAAAGUUUGCCUUGCUUUCUUAAAAAUGAACCCACUAAUCCCUUCUAGAUAUUCAGCAUGAAUGUCAUUUAGCACAGUCUGAGAGCAGAUAAAUAAUCCCAUUCUUCUCUGUUCUCAUUUUCUUAUAUUUCACUGUAUGAAUAAAACCACUUCGUACACUGCUAUGAAAGAGACAAUAUUUAGAAGCCAUAGAGAAGACUAUCAAUUCAUGAAACUGAAUUCUGUAAAGAAAUUCACUCUGAAACAAAAGUAUAUUUUAAAUGUUUUUCAUUUUGAAUAAACUAUACUUCUGUAAAGAUGAAUUUGUUAAAUCAAAAAUUUCUCAAAAUUGUGAUAAAAGAGAAAAAACUUGAAAAAAAACCCAAAAAACUAAACCUCUUCAAUGUCCCCAUUCUCCUCCACAUAAAUCUUCUGUUUAAUAUCAAGUAUCUAAACAUAAACCUAAUUUAAACCCUUUUAAAAUAGUAUUUUCUACUGUGAUUUCUGUAUUAUUAUUAUGUGUUAUAUUUACCUGUAGAUCUUUAACUGAUCUAGAUGAUUUUGAACUUUCUACUGCUGACUAUAUUUAUUCUUUUACAUAUGAAAAUGACUUUACAUAGUACACCAUUUUAUGAAUAUGACUGUAUUUAUUUCUUCUAGUAGGCCGAUAGUCUUUAAGCCUUUUAUUGUUAUUUAUUUUAAAAUGGGUAUUCUGAUGAAUUAUGAGCAUGUGCUGAAACACUAUCUGUAGCUCAAGUUGGAAUACAGCUUUUUGUUCUGUGUACUUUACAGCACUUAAAUCUUUCUCCUUCCCGGACUCUCUGUAUUUUUUUUCAUUUUUAAAAGCCUUCUGUUUAUUGCUUCCACUAAUCUUUAGAUCUCUACUUAACCUCAUUGCCCACUGUUGCCCUUUUCUACAUUUAGAUUUAACCAGCAUGUCAAUUACAGUCUCUCCAGAAAAUUUCUGAAGCAUUUUCCAUUUUUAAUUUUAAAAACCCACCUUUUAAAAUGGUACUUGAACAAUAUCACAGCUUUCUUCAAGUACUGUGUUCAGAGAACUCUGUGUUCUUCCUGGUCCUUAGAAAACGUCAGUAGAAUUGGAGAAAAGAUGGAAUGUAAAGAUAUAUGUAUAUAUAUUUAUAUAAAAAAUAUAUAUGUAUAUAUAUUUAAAUAUCCAAAAAACCUCGUGAAAUUCAUUGAAUGUACUCGCUAUUGAUACAGUCUUGAGAGAAAGCCAAGUCACAAGUGUUAAAGGGUCUAAGUCUUACACACAAAAACUGAAGCACCUGUGAGAAGUCUGAGAGAAAUCAAGAAUGGUGUAACAGGUGUAUCUGAGAAGAUAAAAUAAAAUACAGAUGACUCCUUAAGUUCUAGAGCAGGGCUAAUAAUACCCAUCUUCCAAAGGUCACUCACUGCUGGAGUUACUGUUUUUUAUUGUUCUAAAUUAUCAUAUUCUUGGCAGUUUUUAAUGCUAUCAGCAAAUUCAUUUCUCACUUUAAUUUUAUUGUCUACAUUUAGAUAAGAUUUUCAUUUUUACCAUUUGAGAAGGUAGAAUGCAGAAACCCAUUGUAUUUUGCUGGAUUCUUUAAAGAUGAGUUCAUAAAUAUUGAAAUAACAUUCUAGACUGUCUUUUGUUUGAAGAUUUUCCAUACAUUUUUUUUCAGUUAUAAAAACAAGUUUUUCUGAAUUUGUCUUGACAAUUUUAUAAGAUUGUGUAUCAUCUAAUUGUGGCUCAGCCUUGUCCACCUUCAGUUCUAUAAGAGAGAAAUUGACAUCUUGGAGUUGUAGAGUUUUACUGCCCAUGUUCAAUUAUUUCUGUCACUUGGAUCACAAUGUGUAACUCUAAAUAAUGCCUUUCUUUCUUUAGUUAUCUUCUUUACCUUUCUAGCAGGUAUGACAAAACCACACCCUUUAUAAAUCAUAAAUAAUUUACUUCUUAUAGCAUGAAUUUUUCUUAGUUGCUACAAAUGAAAAAUAUUUUUGGUACAGGCAAUUAAUGUUCUGAUGGUGCCAGAAUAGGUGCUGGAAUUUAUUUGUUAAUGGCACUAAUUUUGUAUGUUAAAAAUAAUAUGGUUCUCAGCUCUCUGAAUGUGAGAACUUCUCAAAAGGUCAAAUCUGUGUGGUUCAACUAAAAAGAGAGGUGGAAAUUAACUUUGGAACAGGAGGACAUAGUUUAGUUCAUUGGGAGCCAAUUAGUUCUCUUCCAGAAUACAGAAAGAGUAUUGUAAGCAAAUGGUACUAUAGCUGCAUUUGAGUAAAGACACAUGGAGCUGCAUUACCCAACUCAAUUUUUAUGUUUUAAACAACCAUUUCCAUUACCCCUGUGAAACAUCACACAUGGAAGUCUCUUGAGGCUCUGUGUUUCAUUGGUGACUUUCUAGCCUACUUCCCUCAGCCUGCCUCAUUUUUUAAUUUGCACAGUACACUUGAGUUCUUUGGUUAGACAGUCAAAGAAAAGAUCUGUCAGAGGGAUUAGUAAGAAGACUUAAGGUUGUCUCAAGCAAGCUUAUGGUAAAAGGAUUUAAACAUACCAAGCAUUAGUGAAAGUGGUUGGCUAAAGAGGUGCAAACUUUCUACCUGUAGCCUGCUUUUCUGCAAGUCCCCAGUCAGUGAGCAGUUAUUCACCAGCCAUCUACAAAAUACACAGAGGUGUUCAUAUUCUUAAUGAUGUAGUCUAAAACAGUGCAAGGAGCAAAAACAAUAGAAGCAGAAAGAAAGAAUAUCUCAUACCGUCUUCCCCUACUACGGUACAUACUAUAUAAUAAAAAUGUGUCAUGGUUUUAUGAUUUCUGUUAUUGGUAUUCCACAUCAUAACAUCAUGUAGUGCACUUGGUGUUAAAGAGUUAAUGCUCCAGUUGCAUGGAUUGUCAGUAUUUUUGGGUACCUGGUUCUCACAAGAGAAGAACUACAUAAACCAGCAGACUUUUAUUGUUACAUUUCCUGUUUCCAUUUUCCAUUUAGAGGGAAAGAUAAAACUCCCUAGUCAUGAGAUUGGUUCCUUCUUUUACUGCUUGCCCCUGCAGUGUAUUCUUCCUAGCCAUCUCACCUUCAGUGCUAGAGUAAAGUCUUCAGUUUUGGACACUUUCUCAUUUAUUUGAUUUAUUAGCUUCAAUUCCAAUUAUAUUAGAUUACAUUGUGUUAUCUCACAUUCCACUGGCAUAUUUAGUGAAUUAGUUUUCUCCCUUAGCUUGUUGCCACUGUUUCGUUUUGUUUUUAGGCCCUCCUCUCUACCUUUUUCCCCUUUUUCUCUUCCCCCUAUCCUGGGGCAUGGGUCAGUGGGUCCCUCCACUGCACUAGUCAUGGAACUGGGCCAAACUGGCCCCAAACCCAUGCCAAAGUGUGAGAUUUGCAGCUUAGGGAGUCCUACUUCUGGGAAGCUUUAGUUCUGAAGUACCUUGAUCCUGCAGGUGCUUUUGCAUCCUGUCACCCACAGUCUUGCUUACUCUGAAUACAUGCUAUUGCAUACUCUAAGGCACUCUGAAGCUAAGCUUAUACAAUAUGUUUAUAAUCACAUAUUCAUUUCUAAAUGCAUUUUGAUUUCUACUCACUUCAUUGAUGUUUUACAAUAUUGAAUAAUUAUGACGAUUGGUUUUCAGUUAAAGAGCAAAAAUCUAGAGACUCAAAAUACUCAGGUGCAUGAUGAUUCUCCCAGAAAACAGCUACUCAUCUGUUUGGCUGGAGACUAUUCACAUUUUUACCAUGAAACACAUACUAUGAUAAAUAAAAUUGUAUCCUUGGAUAAUUUCUGUGUGUCAGCAAGCAGUUCUAGCCAGGGUGCCCAUGUAUGGUUUCUGACAUGGAAUGACAUGUGUUCACAACUGCCAGUCAUUCUAACUGAAAGAAGGGACAGUCUGCACACAGCAGGGUCAUGACAUCUAGCAGCCUGAGUAAACAAACUAGUGUUUCUCUCUCUCCUUCUUCCUCUUUCCAGACUGCUAAGGAGAAGUCAUAAACAUUUUACUUUUUUGGUUAUUUACUAGAACAAGAAGUCUCUGCUUUCCUUUUUUCAUCCAAGAUGGCACUAUGGAUAAUUUGUAAUUUAGAAGAUUUAGAACAUUUCACCUACUAAGUAUGAUAAAUACAAGCAACCAACAGAGGAAAAGUUACAUUUUAUUUCUUAUGGCAGAUUGUUGUAUUAUGCUUUGCUGAAAUAUAUACAAUUAAAUUGUCCAUCAACUAUUUUAUCAGCAACUCAUUAGAAGAAACUGUACAUUUAAAAUAGAGUAAUAAUGAACUUAGAUACAUUUUUUCAGCACAGCUGAGAGACUGCUUUCCAGUGCUGCCAUAUAAGGUAAUCAGGAAACACUGGACCCUGGUUCUGCUUAUUCAAGUGUAACCAAGAUUUGGAGUUUCCAAGUCCACUUUAAAAACCUUUAACUACUUAAAGCAUUGGAAUAAAGCUGACCACAAAGAUGGAAAAGAGAUGGAAGAGUGAGAAGAAGGAAAAAGAAGUUUUGAAGCAGAGACCAGAAAAAGAAAGACUGCGAAUGAUUUUGAAGCUCAUACAAGAUGUAGAAUGCCAAUCUCUUCUCUGUGUUCUAGAGGAGCUUUAAACAGCAAGCAAUAGAGUUGGCCAACUGAAGCACAUUAUUCAGCUGUGUUCUCUUUGGAGAUAACUGGUAAUUCUGAAAGGGAGAUGAGGGAGGAAGAAAGAAAGAAAGCUAUAACUUCUUGGUUUGUAAAUCUGCUGGUGAUAUAGUGAACUUAGAUUAAUUUCACAGCUCAAUCUUGAUAGUUAAAGUUGUGUUUUGUGUUUGAUCAUCCUAGGCCUGAGAACAUCCCUGUUAACCUUGUUGCAGCUCUCAACAAUGUAAAAAAAACUUCCUACCAAAUUAUAUUUUUAAUACACCUUAUGAUUUGGUAUAGAUAUGAAGGUAGAUGAAGAGGACAUAAAGAGAUACGUAGAAAAAGACCCAUAGUCCUUAAAAGGAGUUUUGCUCACUUCUGUAAAGGGACUGCAACAGUCCUUGUAGUAUUUUUUUUUGCAGGUGCUAUAAGAAUUACUCUGAAUGGCAGAAGAUGAACUUUGGCAGAAAAUACAGCGGAAACUUCAGCAGCUUAGGCAUGGUUAUAUACAGGUCUCAAUUGCUUUUAACUGAAGUCUUGUUUUGUUGUCUACAAAGGUUGUCUUGCUUUCAGAAAAGUAUGAGCUAUGUUUCAAUGAGACAGAAUUCUGAAAAAAAAAAAAAAAGUUUGAUGUUAUUUACAUUCACUGUAACUAAUCUGAAUCACUGAUUCUGGUUGGGACUGACAUCCCUGUCUAAGUCCCAAACCUAGUAUGAUUUUGUAUGUAGAGCCAGUUUAAAGUCACAGGCUCAGCUAGGUCUAGCUAGAACUGAUGAAGGAUAGAAGAUACAGAUUAAACAUUUUUCUCUAUUGUGAGACUAUAAAUAAAAAAUUGAAUGUGACCUUAUAACCAAAUGAUUUAUUCAUUGCUAUAUUAUUGAUAUCAAUGUGAAAUGUGUUGCUUUGCUGAGAAAGGGAAGGAUUUUGUGAGGAUACUGAAUGGUUGUUUUUUUUUUAGUGUCCUUAAAGUACAAACUGAUGGGGUCUGCUUCCUCUGUAGAAAUGGUAGUUUUCACUCAAAAGAAUAAAUGCUGUCACUUUAUGCUUCACAACUCUAGAAUGUUUCAGUUGUAGUGAAAACCCAGGAGUUUCUUGGCUUUUUGCUUUUAGUGGAGGACACAUUACUCUGUGAGAGACUUUACUUGGACAAAAUAACAUAGAAAAUGUUAACUUAGAAAAUAGACCAAAUAAUCUGCCACAGCUGUAGUUGUUUUUGUUUUGUUUUGUUUUUUACAAAUCAGCAAUGAACAAUUUGAUCUAAUUCAGAAAUAAUCAAAGGCUGCAUAAAUAUUUGGCUGCUACAAGUUUAAAAUAGUACCACGAUAAAAUUUCACGUACACAUGUCUUCUAAGAACAUAUUUCUUGUAAAUUUCACUGCACUGAAUAAUAACUUGAAUUAUUUUUAUCAGUACAAAAGUAAGUCUCCCUACACUACUCUAUUUUUUAUUAACAAUCACUUUUUAAUCUGUAUAUACUAUAUACAGCUAGUAGCUCUUUCAUUUUUGUACUUUCAAUCUGCUUCACAGGGUAUUAAUUAUGCACAAGUUGGCUACAUCUCUUCUGUCAUACCGAACAGCCACAUCUGCAUUUAAUCAUUCAUUAUAUGCUGUAAUCUACCACCUAACUUCCAGUCACUUUUACUAUCUAAAAGCAAGUAGGAGGUACUUAAGAAUCUAUCCCUGAAUAUCUAAUUGCAUACUUAACUGAUUAGUUUUAUAUGACAGUCUCUUAUAAACAUGCUAAUAAGUUGAAGACUCUUAAUUUGUAUCUACAUGCUACUGAUUUCUGUAUGAUUAUACAUAAUGAACUCAUCAUGAUCACACUUAGUGCUGCUCUUCUGAGAAUCAUGAAAAUAAAUGCAGAGUUUGGAGAGAAGGAUGUAGACAAAGGCAGAAAUGAUCAGUAAUAUGUUGCUUUGUAAGAGAUUUGAUGAGAAACUUCAUUCAGGUUUGCUUUGAGAAAUGGCUUAUUCCAAAUAGUUCAAGAGGAAAUAAAAGGACCAUGAAAACCUGGACAAUGAGGUAAACAAAAGUGAAAAGAAUUCACACAGAUGCUGUUUUACACCUAGCUCAACUAAUAACACCCAUCAUGCUCAGAGAUACAGGAAAAAGUGAAUCCAUGCCAAAUAAACCACCUCAGGUGUCAGUACUGGUGACUUCUAGUUACUUCCAAGCAUCUCAGUUAUUCACAGAACAGAGGCAAUGGGAGAGGUCCAAAGGAACUCUGUAUUGCCAUGUCACUGCUUUUCUGAGUAUUUCAAUACCUCCAUUAAAGUAAUGCCAUUACUAUGACCAAUUCACAAGCUUGAUUGAAAUUUCUUUAACAAUGUACAAUGUUGCAGACAGGAUGAGGUUAUCCAUUCCACCUCUGCUUUUUCUAGGGCAAUAGCUGAGAAAGGGAGUUUUAAAGGUAAACAGAAAUCUGAGGUAAUUCCUAAAGAAAAUGAACACUUACUAACUUUAAAGUAGUUAUUGUUAUACAAAGUGAGUUUUUGGGGUUAGCACAAAAGAAGAACAGCAUUUAAGGUCAAUAAAGGUGCAAUACUUUCCAUUGUUCACUGCAUUUCUACAUAAGUCUUAGAAACAGCACAAUCUGUAGCUCUCUUAUACAUAUAGGUAGCCUCUGGAGCUAUAUCACGGUUGUCCGUGAUUUUUCACUUGUUAUUAAAGGGCAUGAAUUCUUCCAAAGGGCAAGGCUAGUGCAUUUACUCAGACACCUACGCAAAUUGUCCCAGGAUCCUAAUUUGAUGUACCUCAGUGGAAAGUGAUUAGGGUCAGAGGACUUAAGCUGUAUUCUAACACAUAUUAGAUUUAAAUAAUCCUGUCUCAUCUCUUCUGGCUCCUAACCAGUUUAUUUUAACACUAAGUGAGUUUGUUUGUAAAGUCUAAAUGAAUUUUAACAGCUUCUAGUGACAUUUUACUAGAAAACAGAAAAACUGUAGCAAUUCAGGUUCCAAAGUGUAUCAGCGUUCAAUUUUUGAGGGUUUCUCAGUAGACUGAACUUUCCAGAGAUCCUUAUCAUUCAUAUAAAAUAGAUUGGGAUAAUAUCCUCAGAGUUAAUCUAUUUAAAAUGAAUAGUGAUCUUAGAUCCUUUCGGCAUUGGAUUUGUUAAGAAGAAAGUGAUAUUACUGCAGAGUUAGUCCCACUUCCAAGGCCAUGCAAUGGCUUUUCUCAAGCAAUUAAGAAGCUGUACAACUUCUACCUUUAAGAUAACUGUGGAAGAUAUAAUCUUUUAAGAUUAGACUACUCUACUGAUAGAAUUUAUCUUCUUUUCUCUCAUUAAAUAUUUUAAGAUUCUAAUUAACAGACCCUAUUCAAGAAUUUCUGAGAUGAAUGAAGGCAUAUUCAUAUUUUCUGAGAGCACUUUAUUCAGUCUUAUUUUAAAAGCCUAAAUUACAUAUAAGGUAUAUAUGUGUUUUUAAAUACAUUAGUCAGAAGGAAAUGAGUAAUAAUGCUGCACUGUAUUGUGCUGAUCUGUCCAGGCAUAGAAGAGGAUAAGUUGCUAUAUUUAUUGAUGCAAAACUUGUGGAUAACCUUGGUAAACCUUGCAUUUCCUCUGCAAUAGCUACAAAUGGUGGUUAAUGUUAAGCGAGAAAUUUGCAGAAAGCUUAUUAAAAACACAGCCUGUUUCUGCAGACUUUGUUUCGCUUUGACAUUUUAACCACAGUUUACCAGGAUGUGUCAAAACUUCUUGACUAGUCAUAGCAAUCUCCUCAGAAAAUAUGAGGAAAAGGUUUCUGUGCUCUUUCUUUCUUUCCUCCUUCUUUCUCUAUCCAUAAAUAUUUCAUAGAAUCAUACAGUUUUUUGAGUUGGAAGGGACCCUUAAAAGUCAACGAGUCCAACUCCCCUGUAAUUAAUAGGGACAUCCACAGCUAGAUCAGAUUUCUUAGAGUUUGUUCCAGCCUGAUCUUAAAUGUUUCUAGGGACUGGGAGUCCACCACCUCUCUGGGCAACCUGUUCCAAUGCUUCACUGCUGUUAUCAUUAAAAAAAACUUUGUUCUUAUACCCAAUCUAAAUCUCCUCUCUUUUAGUUUGAAACUAUUUCCCCUUGUCCUAUUAGAAAAGACCCUACUAAAGAGUCUGUCUCCUUCCUUCUCAUAGCUCCUUUUAAACACUGAAAGGUCACUAUCACGUUUCCCUGGAGCCUUCUGUUCUCCAAACUGGACAGUCCCAGCUCUCUCAGCCUGUCCUCUUAAGGGAGUUGUUCCACCCCUUGGAUCUUUUUUAUGGCCCUCCUCUGGAUGCUUUCUGACAGAUCCACACCUCUCCUGUACUGAGGACUUCACAUCUGUCAUUGCUGCAGAGACCAGCUUUAGAGCAGGUAAGACUGCACUGAGUAAGGGACCUAAAGCAAAAAGGCCGACCAAAAAGCUCUUUUUAGGGCUUUUUUGAAGCUAGAAAAAGCACUGUACCAGUGCCAGGGGGCUGGCAUCUUGUGGGUGGGCUGCUGAGCCAGCAGGGGCAGAGCUGUCACUGCCCACUCUUAUCUCGUGAGUUCGACCUUGACCCUUUGCUGUGUGGCUAAAAUCAGCCUUCUGGAUGGCAGAAACAAGCUUCCACCCACUUAACACACCAGGUGAGAAAAGGGCGUUACCUUCCACUGACAAGAGGAAGGGAAGUCAGUGUGUGAGCACAGCCCACACUACCCAUAGAGUACUGCAGCAGCGGGUGUGAGUGGUGGGUCUUGUGGCAGGACACGUGAGUGUUUUUUGUCUUUGCUCAGACCGGGUCUCCUAUGGACAGACCCUGAGACCACCAGUUCAAACAUGGUCUCUACCAGGCAGCAGGCUUGCCCCAUGAAAACUGUGGAGACCCAGGCAGAGGGCCUGCCCAGAAAUGCUGCCGUUCAGGUCUCUGGCUGCAGGGAGUGCCUGAGCCUGCUGCUGCCAAGGGAGGAUGGGAAGGAUCCCACCUGCGUGAGGUGCGAGCAGGUAGACAAGCUGCUCAGCCUGGUGGUGGAGCUCAGGGAGGAGGUGGAGAGAUUAAGAACUAUCAGAGAGUGCGACCUUCUAGAGGCUUGGGGCAGAGUGGCUGGAAGACUGUGUAGAGAUGGACCUGAGGAUAUUGAUUGAUGCUCAACUGAACAUGAGCCAGCAGUGUGCCCAGGUGGCCAAGAAGGCCAAUGGCAUCCUGGCUUGUAUCAGAAAUAGUGUUGCCAGCAGGAACAGGGAAGUAAUUAUCCCCCUGUACUCAGCACUGGUGAGGCUGCACCUUGAGUACUGUGUACAGUUUUGGGCCCCUCACUGUAAGAAAGACAUCGAAGCCCUGGAUCGUGUCCAGAGGAGGGCAACAAAGCUGGUGAGGGGUCUGGAGCACAGGCCUUACGAGGAGUGGCUGAAGGAGCUGGGAUUGUUCAGUCUAGAGAAGAGGAGGCUCGGGAGAGACUGAAUUGAGAACGAUUCUAUGAUUCUGUAUUCCUCUUUUCCCAAAAGACUUAAUUCAAUACUCUUCCUAAACUGGUCAUUUGUUGGAAGCAUCUAACUUUACCACUAUAUAAAAUACAUAAACCAUUUUUCAUUACAUAAACUAUUAUCUUAACAGAUCAGGAUAAGAAAUGAAAAGUUGUUUUCUUGUGACACCAGCAAGGACAUCUAUGUAGGGGAAAAAAGGGAAUGUAUUAAGAAAGUAAACAACUGAUCACAGACAUCUCGGAGAAUGUGUGGAUCUUUUACACUGAGUUAUAAUAUCAAACUGCACUAGGGCAACAAGGAAUUCAAAAGGUUAUGCUUCUUUGCAUCUGUAAAUACAUGGAUGUUUGGAAAAUAUGUUUAAUGUUUUUAAAAAAUGAUUCAGCAAAGAAAAAGAGCAGUGCAGUGAGAUAAAAAGAUGAUUUAUCCUGUGGCCAGUGUGCUUCAAAUUGACCAGAGAAAGUAAUCUAAUCAGACUUUAUUAAACUGAUUCUGCAGUACAUCCCCAGUGCCUGGAAGCAUUGUCUGAGCUGGUCUGCAGUCUAAUCCUACUUUAGGAGGUUUGCCAACUAUUUAGCCUUUUCUAAGUAGAAAUAGAGCCACAAAAAUUUAAUUACUGCUAUUUUAAUAAGGAAAAUGUAAAACGUUGAUGAUGUCUGACAUAUGAAAGAAGCUGCAUUAGUGACAACAGUAUUUAAAAAACUCUGAUCAAGCACAACCUUUUUAUUUUGAGCAAGAUAUAGCAGAUAAUGUAGGCUCAAAAACCAGCCUAAAGAGCUGCUGCCAGGUUAUAUAAUCUCUGAGCACUCAUCCAAGGCAGUCCUGAAGCCAAACACAGAGAGGAGAAUUGCUAAGGGGUUGUGUUUGCUUCAACAGUUUCCCCCACUGCAUGACAAUCUCUGCCCCAUAAGCUGGCAGUGUUGAUGGUGGCUGUUUCAGAUUUCUAUAGAAAAAUAAGCUCAAUUCAUGUAAAAUAAUGUUUCCCACAGAUGACCUAAAAAGCAUGCCCAGAAAAUAAGUGCAGACUGUUGUCAGUCCUUGCUGGCAUUUGCAGAUGUCUAAGUUUCCUUCCAUCAUCCUUUGUAUGCUAGGUUAAAUCCUAGAAAGUUGCCAUGUCUCCUGGUAAAAAGAUUGCAUGGAGAAAUUCCUCUUCAAUCACACUACAAUGAACAAAGUUCCCAUGUUACAUUAUGGCAAUAAGUCACUACUUUUCAUGCACAUCUGUCAAUUUCAGGAGGUAUUGCAUUCCCUUGGGUGCAAUCCCCUUCAGUGUUUCACUGAAGAUAGGGUUACUGCUCUGUGUGGUUUCCUUUCACACAAGAGUAAUAUAGCACUUUUUCACUGAAAAAGGUCAGAAAAUUGCAACUUGUUGAUUACACUGUUCAAGAAGUUGCUCUCUCUUUUGCAUUUUGCCUGCAGCACUGCUACUGCACAAUAUUCCACUUUGAGUCUUGGGUCUACUUGUGAUUCUGUUUGUUUCUCCUGGACAAGCAGCACUACUUGUGUAAUCCUCUGAUGCAUAUUGAUGCCUUAAGUUGCUAACUCUGGCUUCUCUCCUUCUGCAUACUUCUAUUUCUUCAUGAACUUGUCCUUCAAGGCACAUGUCAGUAUUUGUUGUGGAAUGGACAAUGGCUGCCAGUACUCAAGUACUGUCUUUCCUUUUUGCCUCAACCAGGGUGGGCUUGCAUUUAUAGCCCAGUAGGCCAACUGUAUCCUAGGCUACAUCAAGAGAGGGGUGGCCAGCAAGGCAUGGGAGGUGAUUGUUGUCCUCUACUCUGCCCUCAUGAGGCCCCAUCUGGAGUACAGAAUCCAGAUCUGGGGCCCCCAGCACAAGUGGAGCAAUUGGAGGGGGUCCGGAGGAAGUCCAUGAAGAUGAUUAGAAGGCUGGAGCAUCUCUCCAAUGAAGAAGGAGGUGUUCAAGGCCAGGUUGGAUGGAUCCUGAGCAAUCUAAUCCAGUGCUUGAUUUAGAGGUUGGCAACAUUGCCCCAUGGCAAGAAGAUUGGAACUAGACGAUCCUUAAGGUCCCUUCUAACUCAAGCCAUUCUGUGAUUCUGUGUUUCAAUGAUUCUAUGAUAGAUGUAUGUGGAAACAGGGAAGUCUUGAGUUUUAAGGGUACAAAUGAUUUAGAUUUCCAUGGAAGGAAUUUUGCCUUCCAGAGUUCAUUCUGGGAUUUAAUUCUGUUUUAAAAUCAUUUGACCAAUGCUAGCGUGCUUCCAUAAUACUCACUGAUGGGUAUUGUUUCACUUAUAUGCAUUUUACUUCAGGGAACAUUGUGAAAAUAUUUCACUUCUUAUGUCUGCAAAAAUAUGGAUUAGAAUUGCUCAAUCCAAAAAAAAGAACAAGCAAAUAAUGUCAAGUUCACAAAAUUAAAGGCAAUUAUAGACUAUUUUAUAUACAUUUAAAAAAUAAAGCAAUAAAUGGCCAGUUUUGAACAUUCUCAGUGAUCACUAGAGAUUAGCUGUUAUGUUUUAUAUUCUCUGUUAUCUUUCAAGCAGAAAACCAAAUUUCUAGCCUGUUUCUUUAAAAUUCCUAGGUUUUGUAUGUGUGGUGCUCAUUCAAUUAUUUUAUAUAUUUAUUUUGCUUGUUUGAUGGCUUUGCAUUUGGAAGGCUGCCUGAGGAGAGAUGCCUGAAGGAAAAGAGGAAAUCCAGACAACUAUAAAAAUAUCCUACAUGUUUUCACAGCAAAAAAUGCAUGGGCACAAUGGCAGAUCUCUCCCAUGUUAACGCUGCAGCUGCAUAUAACAGAGGAGACUGCAUCACUAUCACCCUGGUGUGACAUUUUUGUGAGAUGCAGUUAGUACAAUGCUGUGACAUUUACAGUGUUGUGCACUGCAUUUAGUGGCAGAUCUGCUAACAACAGCAGAUCUAUUCCUGGCCACAUAGAGUGGAAUGCUGCCUACUCACUCUCUCCUCUCUGCAUUGGUUUCCUGCCCUAAUGUACGUUACAUUUAGAACUUUGAUGUUAACUGAAGGCCAGCCAAAAAAGGACUUGGAAUCUGAAUGCUUUCAUAUUUCUGGAUAUGGGGUGGUUUUGAAUUUCCAGAUUAGUAGUAACUCAUCUGAUGUUAGUGUUGAGUUGUUUCCAGAACCAUAUGGGACCUAAUUUCUAAUGCAGCCAAGAACUUAAAGCCAAUCUGAAGAAACGUGGGACAAGCUGACAAAAAAAAAAGUAUCACAGGCAGAAUAACAGUGAAAGAUUUACAUCAGUUUCCCCCUCAUAAACUUUAGUCAUUUGCCUUGAAGUUACUCAGAAGUUACACCGAUGUCUAUUAUUUUCUUAUUCAGUGGUACAAAUGUUCAUACUCAUCUCAUCUGUGUAAAUAUACAUCCGUGUAAAUAUGAAAGUGAUUAGAUCAAAGAAAACUCUCUUUUUCAUUUUCCUGAAGUAACUAAUUUUAUCAGCUAAGCAUUAAGUGUACUUUUUAAAAUGAUCGUUCAUGCUUUCGCUGAUAAACAGGAGAUAACUAACUGCAUGUCCCAGGCAACUACUUUAUUGAAGUGAGAUGAAUGAUCUUCUGAAGGCUCCCUUCUUCAUGAGCUGCAGUGAUCCUAGACAGUUAUUCUAGACAUUUGGUGUUUAGACAUCUCAGUGUUUUCACACAACUCUGUGUUCCUACCCUUUGUGUAACUUUUAUAUGCAAAAACCAUUGAGCAAUGUAAAAUAUGACCCCCAUUUUAGAACAAUCCCAAGAGAAUUUUUUUUUUAAAUAAAUUUCAUCUACCUGGAAAUGUUAGGACAAAAGUAAGAUUUUCAUGGUUUUCCAUUACUCCCUGUAAAAGCAGAGAAAAAAAGUCUGUUAGAUCUACGAAUAAAAGGAAAUUGGCUGAAAAGAGCUAAUUCAUAAUGAAACUAACUUGUCAGACUAUUUUCAUAGCACUAUCUGUACAAAGAUUAAAAAAAAAAAACACCUCUCAUAAAAUAUUAAUGCUUUAACCUUUAAGUUAUUAGCCCUUAUAAAUUUAAACUACUGCUUACAUUGUAGAGAUGGAAAAGUUUAAGCUAACAGGAAGAGAUGAAAACAGGGCUUUAUCUUCUCUCUCCUAUGGCUGGGUUUUUAAUAUGUUAUCAUUCUUCUCUCUCUCUAAAUCAGUAAAUUAAGUGAUGUUAAUCAUCUCAAAAGCAGAUACACUUCUAGUACAUGUGUAACACACACUAAAGACACAUUUGAGCCUCCCUCACAAGAGAAAGGAUUGAUCAAAUAUAGCUCUUCAGUGCGAGGAGGCACUGGGACAUCAUUUUUUCCCAGUACCUUUCCCAAAACAGUAGCAUAAAAAACAUCUCUAAAAUGCCUGUAGUAGAAAUCAGUAUAGCCAGUAGGAUCUCAACACAACAGAUGAAACUGAAGUGCAUAAAUAGUGAAUUGCACUGCAGCCAGCUUUUUAGUUUGUGGGAGCUUCAAUUACCACAUUCUCCCCUUUACAAGGCAUGAGGAUGCAACACAUUUGUGGCAGGGUAAUGUGAGCACUCCCUGCAUCCACAUCACAGGCUGAACCCAUCACCACUCACAAAGAGCACAUGCAGCUGGGGUAAAUUCAGCCUGGACAUUUCAGUCGUCUUUGGCACCGAGGAAUGGGAAUUUUUUAAUGUAUGUUAUUCUUCUGAGGAAUGUAAAAUAUUUUCACUUGGGACUUUUAAAUCCUCAAAUGUACACUCUGUGAACUGUUGACAUGAUGUUUUCAGGUCAAUAUUUCAACCAGAUUCCAAGAAUCCAAGAAUCAGCAGCUGCUAUUGUAAUUUUCCUAUGGGCUUCUAUUAAGUUGUUUCAAAAUUUGUGUUAAAAAUCAUGCUGGGAUAGAUCUGGAAAGGUGAAACAAGCAAGCAAAAAACUUUUGAAAAUUAUAUUUGCUCUGCAAAAAUGAUUACCCAUUUGCACAUUAAUAUGCACUAUUUUGUAUGUAUGUGUAAGAGAUUAUUCUUUUAUAUCAUUGACUCAAAGUUUGCUGAGGAACAAGUCCAGGCAAGUCCUGGGCAAAGGCAGAGAAAUCUUUUGUCUUGAGGACACUGAUGGACAGGUCCUGGCUAAGGAUUGUGAAAUCCUCUAAGGAGCACAGAUGGACAAGGCCAGGGGCAUCGAGAGAGAGAUAAGCUGCUGCUAAUGGCCGGGAAACGGUCUUUUUGUGUGGACUUAUCUCAAGGAAAAUGGCCAUCUCAGGAGGUAUGCACAGGACUCUUGCUCAAGCACCCAGGAAUGUCACGUAGGCAGCAGAAAAUGGAGGAUAAAAGAGGGUCCAACAACCACGGCUAGGUGGAGGCUGAUCUCUCACCACGACACGAGCUUUCUGCCUUCAGAUCCUUCUCUACGGACCGUUUGCUGACGGACUUCCCUGGGCCUGCUACCUGAGACCUGCUGCUUCCUCCCUGACCUGCACUCUCUCGUUGCCCAAGACCGGCCUCGCUGCUCCUGCCCUUCGGCGUCGGAACCUCGUGCUACGGGACUGCUGCCGGAUCCUGGUGGUUACUAUCCCCGCUUUACGCAAUUCUUGCCUCUUUCUAUCUUUUCUAUCGCUCGCCUUCCCUUCCCCAUCACCCCAAUCCUUAAUGAUGUCCGUCCUCCCCUUUCCCCAUCUCCCUUAUUAACAUUUGUAAUAAACUGGUCGGACCAACAUUUGAACCGUUGUUUCUUAAUCUCACGCCAGGCAUACAUAUUUCAAAGAACCUCCUCUCCCUCCUAUAAAUUGGAGUGAGACAGUAUGUAAGCAAGUGCUUAUAUUUAAAAUCAAUUAAAAAAUCUCCCCUAAGAAAUCAUGUCAUGUUACACACAAUUAUAUGCACAACAAUGCAUUGCACAGGGGCCUUGUAUCGCUGUUUCUUUGGCAAAGCAGUUGACUAGUACUGCAACCGCAAUAACCACUCUUUCAAGGUUGUGGAAAACUCUGGAUUUCACUGCAACUCUUUCCUCCCUGAAUAUUCAGAUUUCUCUUUAAAGUUAAGGAGGACGUAUGAGGGCAUGAUGUGCAUACAGGUAACAUUCUGAUAUAAAGGCUUUUUUUCAUACAGCUGAGAUGCAGGCAGUGGUUUGGCUGUGAACACAUUGAAGAGGAGAACUUAUUUAAGAGUGAACUCAGGUCAUAUGUUUCUAAACAUUCUUCAGCAAACAUUAGGCAUCUUAACAGUGUAUGAUGGCCUUGUCUUCCUGCGUAGACUUGACUGAGUAAAGAAUGAUCCCUUAGAUAACAAGAAUUUACCUACAGGCUCUAUAGGAUUCCUAUAUUUAGCCAUAAACAACGGCAGUAACAGAACAUACUGUAUUUUCCUUCUGCUCCAGUUAGUGUUAAGUGUUACAAAAAUUAACUGAUACAGACUGUUAUAUUCUUUGCACCAAAAUCUUUGUGGAAAGUGACAUCGCCAUGUGCUUUGUAACUAGCGAGACAUUUUUUU